rnacentral:rRNA from 1 species
UACGGGGGGGGCAAGCGUUGUUCGGAAUUACUGGGCGUAAAGGGUGCGUAGGCGGCUUUCUAAGUUGGAUGUGAAAACUCUGGGCUCAACCCAGAGCCUGCAUCCAAAACUGGAGAGCUAGGGUUCUGGAGGGGAAAGCGGAAUUCCUGGUGUAGCGGUGAAAUGCGUAGAUAUCAGGAGGAACACCGGUGGCGAAGGCGGCUUUCUGGACAGAUACCGACGCUGAGGCACGAAAGCGUGGGGAGCAAACAGG